rnacentral:misc_RNA from 1 species
CUAAUUCGCAGGGACCAUAGUUCCUCCGCAAAGUUUUCGACACCCGGCCGAGAUUAGAUAUUUUGCACAAGCUCUUCGUAGAUAUUGUAUCGGGAACGCCAAUCAGUCCUUACAACAAAGGAAAACUGAAUGGAAUUAGUCGAAAAACUGCAGAGAAGACAUUAUUAAAGUUGUUCAGCUAAAAUUGAAACUAACCCGUCGAGGAUUUCAUGCUUGUCCACGGCAGUAACCACUUUCGCCAUCCAGCUAACUUCCCAUAAGAUCGUCUCCAUACUCCACCUGUAAGUGCAUGCAAGGACGCAUUGUCAGCCGUGCUCAACUUGAAACUAGAAGCAGUCAACAACGCAAAAGUGAAGAACCAACAAUUCCGCCGGCCCCGACAUAUCCCAGGACAAUCGCCAGCCCCUCUAGUACUCCACUUUGCACCGACACUUCACUGCAGUACUGACGCAACUGUCAAUUCGUCAUGACAGGAUUUUUCGCCGCAGUGGAAAUUGUGAAUUUCUAUGUGAUUGGGAGAAAUCGAAGUUGUCGCUCCGUGAGUUUUUUCAUAUCCGUACAGAAUACCUCGUAAUCUGUAGGAGCAGGUGUUUCAGGUGAAGGAAUACGCGUCGCGCGAACGACAAGUGUCGCUAGGUUCGGGAGCGGGCGUAAUAAUUGCAUGAAGUCUUGUGUAUCGCCUGCAAUAAUGUUGCAAUGGCAGUGUAUUUAAGUGAAGAGAAAGCGGUUCAGCAUUUCGGCGAUUACGUUUCGUCCAAAAACCAAGUGGAUUUCAAGAUUAUCAGUUCCAAGUUGUACAAAAACCCGCUGACCGCAGAGGAGUUUUUGAACAGUCUAAAGAGCGGUCCUGGUCCUGUCGCGAUCGAGUUAGUGUCGGGUCGUGGAAGCAGUCGCAGUGGGGCUUCGUGCAGCAAGGAAGGUUUCGCUCAGCUUGCAGCCGCCGCAGCUGGCCAGGUUGACUCCUUGACGACAAGGGAGGACUGUUCGCAUCGUUGUCACCGCGACCCGUUGCCAACUGUCUCGUUCGUCGUUACAGAAAACAUGUCAUCCUCAACGGAUGACAGUGACGAGCUUCUCGAUCCGCUCUCCGAGGAAUUGCGGAACAUCCAGUCUGUGAUCCAUGUAACCCGGGAAAAUAUAGACGCAUUAAAUGCCAAGUUCGCGAACCUGCAGGAGCCUCCUCCAAUGUACAUAACCGAGUAUCAGGAACUCACUUCAAAACUGCAUGAGCUCGAGGCACAGGAGCAAGAACUCAUCGAAAAAAUCCAAGCGCAGACUGAAGAUGGCGAAGGGCAAGAGUCCUGUGAACAACCACACGAGGAGCACGUCGAUACGGAGAGCAAUUGCGGCACGAUUAUCAGACAACCGAAAUUAUUCCUUCGAGCACAUCUUCCUAACCAGCAACGAACGUCUGUACAGAAAACGCCAGGCGUUCGAUUAAGUGAUGCUCUUAUGAAAGCUUUACGACGUCGUAAUCUUAACUGUGAAAUGUGCGAAGUUAAAGCGCCAGACAGUGAUGUGCCCAUACCAUGGGAUACGGAUAUCAGUUUAAUACAAGCUGAAGAGGUUUAUGUGAAAGUGAAAGGAAAAUGUCCAAUCAUGACCCACACAUCACAUCAAUUCAUACGAAAAACAUUCUUUUCGCUAGCAUUUUGCGAAGGAUGCCGUCGACUGCUGUUUACCGGUUUCUAUUGUAAUCAAUGUAAUUUUCGUUUUCAUCAACGCUGUGCUGAUCAAGUGCCGACAUUAUGUCAACGUUUUCCGAUGGAUAAUUACUACCAGAUUCUGUUGGCUCAAAAUCCAGAGAACACUGUGGGAAUUUUACAUCCUGGAACAGGCGGUGCAUUAGGAUUUCAGUCUCGACAUCCGCAUUCCUUAAAUCAGCAUGACAGGUCGAAUUCGGCACCGAACGUGUGCAUUAAUAGCGUGAAGCCACUUUCCGAGCAUCAGCGAAUCCUGGCUCAGUCACGGGGCCCAUUGCAGGGCCCUCAUUUUUUCCAGGCACAGAAUAACGAGCACUCGCAUUCAACACAAGCAUCACCAACGAAUACGUUGAAACAUGUGAAAAGGCAGCGCGCCAAAUCGGCCGAUGAAAGUAAUAAAAAUCUUCUGUCUCCACGUGAUCCGAAAACUUCCGAUGAAAAUUGGAAUAUUCAAGCUGAAGAGAUUUUAAUAGGACCCCGAAUAGGUUCCGGGUCAUUUGGUACUGUAUAUAGAGCUCAUUGGCACGGCCCCGUGGCAGUGAAAACGCUCAACGUAAAAACACCGAGUCCCGCUCAAUUGCAAGCAUUCAAGAACGAAGUAGCUAUGUUGAAGAAGACCCGACACUGUAAUAUUUUGCUGUUCAUGGGUUGUGUUAGCAAACCGUCGCUAGCGAUUGUUACGCAGUGGUGUGAAGGGAGCAGCUUAUAUAAACACAUUCACGUGAACGAGACAAAGUUCAAGAUCAACACGGUGAUAGAUAUCAGCCGGCAAGUGGCUCAAGGGAUGGACUAUCUGCAUGCCAAAAAUAUUAUCCACAGGGAUCUCAAGUCCAACAAUAUUUUCCUUCACGAAGACUUGUCUGUGAAAAUUGGUGAUUUCGGCCUGGCAACAGCCAAAACCAAAUGGUCGGGAGAGAAGCAAACUCAGAAACCAUCCGGGAGCAUACUUUGGAUGGCGCCGGAAGUUAUUCGUAUGCAAGGUCCCAAUCCUGUGACGUUUGCUAGUGAUGUAUAUUCUUUUGGAAUUGUACUCUAUGAAUUACUCGCUGAAUGUUUGCCAUAUCGAGGCAUGGAAGAGCAGCAUCUGAUUCUCUGGAUGGUUGGCUGUGGUAAAUUGAGACCUGACAUGUCGUUGGUUCGAAAGGAUUCACCGCAAAGUCUGAAUCGUCUAAUGGAGGAUUGCAUAAAAUUUGAACCAAACGAGAGACCAGUAUUUCGUCUUAUCCUGAACAUGUUGGAGAACAUGCUACGCACGCUGCCGAAGAUUCAUCGUAGUGCCAGUGAACCGAAUUUAACCCAGACUCAACUACAAAGUGAUGAUUUUCUUUAUAUGUGCUCGAGUCCUAAGACACCGGUUAAUUUUCAUAAUUUCCAAUUUUAUAAUGGGACAGGGAAUGUCUAGCGUUUUGACAACUAUCAGCAUUAUCAUCGUCGAGAGAGCAAUAUUGAUUAUGAUGCCUGUGCCAAUUUCGCCUGUAUUAGACUUGUUUAGCAUUAGUCAGUUAAGUAAUAAUAGUGAUUAACAGCUAGUUCGGAAAACUACAUCGGAAAGAUGGCAGCUCGUAGCUGAACGCGUUGCUUCAGGAAUUAUGGCGACAAAUCUUUUUCUGUUUUCAUGCAAAUCAAAAAUUGGAAUGAAUUGUUCCAAUGGGUUGCAAUUUUAGUUUUCAGCAAUAGAGGCUAAAUAAUACAAAUGCUGAGCUAUACGUAAAUAUAUAAAUUGCCGCUGAAUUUUAUUUGAACAACGCGGAGCUGCAGUGUAAAGGAAACCUCAUCAGAAGAGGUUAUCUCCUGUAGCAUUUAUACUGUAUACCUUUAUUCUACCUUGUUGCCAUUCGCUAAAAAAAUCAAAUCAAUCAUUACAUCAGUUUUGAAAGCAAUUUACCGCUUGUUCGUGAUCAAACAGACAUUCAAGGGAUUCAGAGCGAUUUAGGAAAUUAGUUACUUUUGCUGAAUGAGAAUUACGUUAUCUUCGGUGUUGGGAGACUCUUGUUCCUUUUAAUUCGAAGUAUGGCUCAGAGUACGCAUCACCAUCUGAUUGGAAAGAGACCGCAACUAUACCGAUAUAAACGAAAUUGAUGAGAUGGUUGAGUUGGCCGAGUGUCAGCCUCUCGAUUUCGUUACUGCGGGUUCAGAACUCUGUUUGUCAUGUUUGCGUUCGCCUUUGUGCUGUCUUUAUGCUGUAACCUUUAUCACUAGCACAGCAUUCUUUUCUUCAGCCUUUGUCCCGUUCACAAGCGGGGUUGGCUCGUCGUGAUCGGCUUCGCCAUUUGGCUCUAUCGAAUGCCUGAUCUGGGUGCAAUCUCAAGGCUUUCAAAUCCCCAUC